UACGGAGGGGGCUAGCGUUGUUCGGAAUUACUGGGCGUAAAGCGCGCGUAGGCGGCUUUGUAAGUUAGAGGUGAAAGCCCGGAGCUCAACUCCGGAAUUGCCUUUAAGACUGCAUCGCUAGAAUCAUGGAGAGGUGAGUGGAAUUCCGAGUGUAGAGGUGAAAUUCGUAGAUAGUUCGGAAGAACACCAGGUGGCGAAGGCGACUCGCUGGACAAGUAUUGACGCUGAGGUGCGAAAGCGUGGGGAGCAAACAGG
rnacentral:rRNA from 1 species